UUGUGGCUAUCUGCCUUUUUAAGUACACACGCCCGAUACAGUAAAACUGUGAAUGGCUCAUUAAAUCACUUAUGGUUUUUUUGAUUGCUUCAUCUGGUACUUGGAUAACUGUGGUAAUUCUACAUGAAGAUGAGUUUAGACCUCUCGGAAUACAUGCAUUUAUCAGACUCGCCCGGCCUUUUUGGUGACUCCAGAUAUACUCAGGCCAAUUGCACGUCCCUGUGACUGGGAAGAUACAUUCGGAUGUCUGCCCUAUCAACGUUCAAUGGUACUUUCUGUGUCUACCAUGGUGACCACGGUUAACAGGAAUCAGGGUUCGAUUCCGGAGAGGUAGCCUGAAAAAUGGCUACCACAUCCAGGGAAGGUAGCAGGUGUGUAAAUUACCCACUCAGGGAGGUAGUGACGAAAAAUAACAAUACAGGACUCUUUCGAGGCUCUGUAAUUGGAAUGAGUACACUUUCAAUCGUUUAACAAGGAUCCAUUGGAGGGCAGGUCUGGUGCCAGCAGCCACAGUAAUUCCAGCUCCAACAGCGUAUAUUAAAGUUGCUGCUGUUCAAAAGCUUGCAGUUGGAUCUUGGGAUCAAGCUGGUGGUCCGCCGCGAGGUGAGCUACUGCCUGUACCAGCCCCUGCCUCUCGGCACACCCUUGAUGCUCUUGACUGAGUGUCCUGUGGUCCGAAGCGUUUACUAUGAAAAAAUUGGAGUAUUCAAAGCAGGCCGUUUGCCUGAAUACUUCAGCUAGGAAUAAUGGAAUAGGUCUCUGGUUCUAUUUUGUUGUUUUUUGGAACUGGACCAUGAGUAGGAAGAAUGGCUGGGGACAUUUGUAUUGUGCAGCUGGAGGUGAAAUUCUUAGACCGGCGCAAGACGAACCAAAGCGAAAGCAUUUGCCAAGAAUGUUUUCAUUAAUCAAGAAAGAAUGUUAGAGAUUCAAAGAUGAUCAGAUACCAUUGUGGUUCAGAGCAUAAAUGAUGCUGACUAGCGAUCCAGCAGCAUUAUGCUCAAUACCUUCCAAGCAGCUUCCGAGAAACCUAAGUCUAUCCAUUCCGGGGGAGUAUGGUUGCAAAGCUGAAACUUAAGGGGAUUGAUGGAAGGGCACCUCCACUAGUGGAGCCUGCAGCUUAAUUUGAUUCAACACAGGAAAUCCCACCUGUGCCGGACAUGUAAAGUAUUGACAGAUUGAUGGCUUUUUCUCGAUUCUGUGGGUGGUGGUGCAUGGCCGUUAAUAGUUGGUGGAGAGAUUUGUCUGUUUAAUUAUGAUAAAGAACGCAACUCCUACAUUAGUUACAUGACUCUCGGCGGUCAACUUAGCAUUUUGCCACAUGAGAGAGCAAUACCACAUCUGUGAUGCCCUUAGAUGUCCAGGGCUGCACAUGCGCUACACUGAACAGAUCAGCCUGUGUCUACUGUGAUGAAUCUGAUGGAGUCAUCACUUCUCUUCCAGAGGUAGCCUCUCCCAAUGCAGCCAGGGGACGGCAGCCGCUACCUGAUCCUGACCCUGGGGGUGGCUAAAUGACAGAGGCUCACAUGGUGGGAGUGUGAGAAACCUGAAGGUGUCUCACUC
rnacentral:rRNA from 1 species